GAAAAUUAUCUUUCCAAGACAGGUGUUC
rnacentral:piRNA from 1 species